rnacentral:rRNA from 1 species
UACGUGAGGGGGCAAGCGUUGUCCGGAUUUAUUGGGCGUAAAGAGCGUGUAGGCGGUUUGGUAGGUCCGUUGUGAAAAGCUCGAGGCUCAACCUCGAGACGCCGAUGGAAACCAUCAGACUAGAGUCCGGAAGAGGAGAGUGGAAGUUCCUGGUGUAGCGGUGAAAUGCGCAGAUAUCGAGGAAGAACACCCGUGGCUAAGGCGGCUCUCUAGUACGGUACUGACGCUGAGACGCGAAAGCGUGGGGAGCGAACAGG